CCCAUUGAAUGUGAAUACGCGUACAACCAAGGAAUGCUUGCCACCAAUUCAGCUGCUCUAUCUGUGGGUGUACUUGCUGCCAAGGACCUCAAAGGAGGAUAAGUGACAGUGGUGGAAAUGAAUCUGCAGUCCAGCCAAGUGCACAACGAGUUAAGUGAGGAACAAUAUUGAAACGAACCAUAAGAUAAGCAUUGUAAAAACUGCUAAUAAAGCCUUGUCUUCAUCACCCAACA